GGGCCUCUAGCUCAAUCUGGUUAGAGCAUCCGACUCUUAAUCGGAAGGUUGCGAGUUCGAAUCUCGUGGGGCCCGCCA
rnacentral:tRNA from 1 species